CCCCAUGACUCACUUCUGCCCAAGAUGGCGGUGCCAUGUAGUGCAUAGGACAAGGUGAAAUGACAAGACCUCAUAGUUCCCUCGCAACACAGCAUAAUUUUGUAGGGCGUACAAAUAUAUUGUGAAACCAACACUACCCUGUUUUAAAAGCCUCCUCGAACGUUCACUGGGACGUGAGGUCUAAGCAGCGGAAGAGGGAAUGUGCCGGGUCAUGGCUGCUGCCCUGAGACAGAGAGAAGACUAUGCACAGUCUAGAAGGAAGGCCAUCCUUGGACAGCUGCAG